GAUGAACGCUGGCGGCGUGCCUAAUACAUGCAAGUCGAGCGCGAGAAUGAGGAGCUUGCUCCUCAUAAUCGAGCGGCGGACGGGUGAGUAACACGUAAGCAACCUACCCUUGAGAUUGGGAUAACUACCGGAAACGGUAGCUAAUACCGGAUACGACUUUUCCACACAAGUGGAAUUGUUAAAAGGCGGUUUUAUCUGCCGCUCAUGGAUGGGCCUGCGGUGCAUUAGCUAGUUGGUGAGGUAGUGGCUCACCAAGGCGACGAUGCAUAGCCGACCUGAGAGGGUGAUCGGCCACACCGGGACUGAGACACGGCCCAGACUCCUACGGGAGGCAGCAGUAGGGAAUCUUCCGCAAUGGACGCAAGUCUGACGGAGCAACGCCGCGUGAGUGAUGAAGGGUUUCGGCUCGUAAAACUCUGUUGUUAAGGAAGAACACUUGAGGUAGUAACUGGCCUUGAGAUGACGGUACUUAACCAGAAAGCCACGGCUAACUACGUGCCAGCCGCCGCUGUAA
rnacentral:rRNA from 1 species